rnacentral:rRNA from 1 species
AUACGGAGGGGGCUAGCGUUGUUCGGAAUUACUGGGCGUAAAGCGCACGUAGGCGGACCAGUCAGUCAGAGGUGAAAUCCCGGGGCUCAACCCCGGAACUGCCUUUGAUACUGCUGGUCUAGAGGUCGAGAGAGGUGCGUGGAAUUCCGAGUGUAGAGGUGAAAUUCGUAGAUAUUCGGAGGAACACCAGUGGCGAAGGCGGCUCACUGGCUCGAUACUGACGCUGAGGUGCGAAAGCGUGGGGAGCAAACAGGAUUAGAAACCCCGGUAGUCC